rnacentral:ncRNA from 2 species
AUAUAAGAUUGAGGUUGCGGAGAUCAAAAGUCACAAACUGGAAGCGAAAAGCGCUGGUGAAGGUUUGUAAAAGGGUGAUCCGCCGAAGUCAUGGCUUGCUUUUUCAAGUUGUGGUUGGGACUUGGCUUAAAAGGCUAAGAACUGUCGUAACAAUAGUUACGGAGCGCUAUCGACUGA